CGGCGAGUGAGCGGCAAAAGCUCAAAUUUGAAAUCUGGUACCUUUGGUGCCCGAGUUGUAAUUUGGAGAGUACCACUUUGGGACUGUACUUUGCCUAUGUUCCUUGGAACAGGACGUCAUGGAGGGUGAGAAUCCCGUGUGGCGAGGGUGUCAGUUCUUUGUAAAGGGUGCUCGAAGAGUCGAGUUGUUUGGGAAUGCAGCUCUAAGUGGGUGGUAAAUUCCAUCUAAAGCUAAAUACAGGCGAGAGACCGAUAGCGAACAAGUACAGUGAUGGAAAGAUGAAAAGAACUUUGAAAAGAGAGUGAAAAAGUACGUGAAAUUGUUGAAAGGGAAGGGCAUUUGAUCAGACAUGGUGUUUUGCGCCCCUUGCCUCUCGUGGGCUUGGGACUCUCGCAGCUCACUGGGCCAGCAUCGGUUUUGGCGGCCGGAAAAAACCUAGGGAAUGUGGCUCUGCGCCUCGGUGUAGAGUGUUAUAGCCCUGGGGAAUACGGCCAGCCGGGACCGAGGACUGCGAUACUUGUUAUCUAGGAUGCUGGCAUAAUGGUUAUAUGCCGCCCGUCU
rnacentral:rRNA from 1 species